ACAUUUUGAAGUAGAGAAUGUGCUGCUACACCCCGUAAAGGUUUCGUUUUAGAAAUCUUUUUAAACGGACAAAAGAAAUGCAGGACAGGGCACACCUGCCGAAGUGU
rnacentral:ncRNA from 1 species